rnacentral:rRNA from 1 species
GAUGAACGCUGGCGGCGUGCUUAACACAUGCAAGUCGAACGAUGAAGCCCAGCUUGCUGGGUGGAUUAGUGGCGAACGGGUGAGUAACACGUGAGUAACCUGCCCUUAACUCUGGGAUAAGCCUGGGAAACUGGGUCUAAUACCGGAUAGGAGCGUCCACCGCAUGGUGGGUGUUGGAAAGAUUUAUCGGUUUUGGAUGGACUCGCGGCCUAUCAGCUUGUUGGUGAGGUAAUGGCUCACCAAGGCGACGACGGGUAGCCGGCCUGAGAGGGUGACCGGCCACACUGGGACUGAGACACGGCCCAGACUCCUACGGAAGGCAGCAGUGGGGAAUAUUGCACAAUGGGCGCAAGCCUGAUGCAGCGACGCCGCGUGAGGGAUGACGGCCUUCGGGUUGUAAACCUCUUUCAGUAGGGAAGAAGCGAAAGUGACGGUACCUGCAGAAGAAGCACCGGCUAACUACGUG